CUACCCGGGUUUCUAAUCCUGUUUGCUCCCCACGCUUUCGCACCUCAGCGUCAAUACCUGUCCAGCGAGUCGCCUUCGCCACUGGUGUUCUUCCGAAUAUCUACGAAUUUCACCUCUACACUCGGAAUUCCACUCGCCUCUCCAGGAUUCUAGCCAUCCAGUUUUGGAGGCAGUUCCGGGGUUGAGCCCCGGGAUUUCACCCCCAACUUAAAAAGCCGCCUACGCGCGCUUUACGCCCAGUAAUUCCGAACAACGCUAGCUCCCUCCGUAUUACCGCGGCUGCUGGCAC
rnacentral:rRNA from 1 species